GGCACUACGGUGCUGAAGCAACAAAUGCCCUGCUUCCAGGAAAAGCCUCUAAGCAUCAGGUAACAUCAAAUCGUACCCCAAACCGACACAGGUGGUCAGGUAGAGAAUACCAAGGCGCUUGAGAGAACUCGGGUGAAGGAACUAGGCAAAAUGGUGCCGUAACUUCGGGAGAAGGCACGCUGAUAUGUAGGUGAAGUCCCUCGCGGAUGGAGCUGAAAUCAGUCGAAGAUACCAGCUGGCUGCAACUGUUUAUUAAAAACACAGCACUGUGCAAACACGAAAGUGGACGUAUACGGUGUGACGCCUGCCCGGUGCCGGAAGGUUAAUUGAUGGGGUCAGCGCAAGCGAAGCUCUUGAUCGAAGCCCCGGUAAACGGCGGCCGUAACUAUAACGGUCCUAAGGUAGCGAAAUUCCUUGUCGGGUAAGUUCCGACCUGCACGAAUGGCGUAAUGAUGGCCAGGCUGUCUCCACCCGAGACUCAGUGAAAUUGAACUCGCUGUGAAGAUGCAGUGUACCCGCGGCAAGACGGAAAGACCCCGUGAACCUUUACUAUAGCUUGACACUGAACAUUGAGCCUUGAUGUGUAGGAUAGGUGGGAGGCUUUGAAGUGUGGACGCCAGUCUGCAUGGAGCCGACCUUGAAAUACCACCCUUUAAUGUUUGAUGUUCUAACGUGGACCCGUGAUCCGGGUUGCGGACAGUGUCUGGUGGGUAGUUUGACUGGGGCGGUCUCCUCCUAAAGAGUAACGGAGGAGCACGAAGGUUGGCUAAUCCUGGUCGGACAUCAGGAGGUUAGUGCAAUGGCAUAAGCCAGCUUGACUGCGAGCGUGACGGCGCGAGCAGGUGCGAAAGCAGGUCAUAGUGAUCCGGUGGUUCUGAAUGGAAGGGCCAUCGCUCAACGGAUAAAAGGUACUCCGGGGAUAACAGGCUGAUACCGCCCAAGAGUUCAUAUCGACGGCGGUGUUUGGCACCUCGAUGUCGGCUCAUCACAUCCUGGGGCUGAAGUAGGUCCCAAGGGUAUGGCUGUUCGCCAUUUAAAGUGGUACGCGAGCUGGGUUUAGAACGUCGUGAGACAGUUCGGUCCCUAUCUGCCGUGGGCGCUGGAGAACUGAGGGGGGCUGCUCCUAGUACGAGAGGACCGGAGUGGACGCAUCACUGGUGUUCGGGUUGUCAUGCCAAUGGCACUGCCCGGUAGCUAAAUGCGGAAGAGAUAAGUGCUGAAAGCAUCUAAGCACGAAACUUGCCCCGAGAUGAGUUCUCCCUGACCCUUUAAGGGUCCUGAAGGAACGUUGAAGACGACGACGUUGAUAGGCCGGGUGUGUAAGCGCAGCGAUGCGUUGAGCUAACCGGUACUAAUGAACCGUGAGGCUUAACCUUACAACGCCGAAGGUGUUU
rnacentral:rRNA from 1 species